UACAGAGGGGGCAAGCGUUGUUCGGAAUUACUGGGCGUAAAGGGCGCGUAGGCGGCCUUCUAAGUCGAACGUGAAAUCCCCGGGCUCAACCCGGGAACUGCGUCCGAUACUGGAAGGCUUGAAUCCGGGAGAGGGAUGCGGAAUUCCUGGUGUAGCGGUGGAAUGCGCAGAUAUCAGGAGGAACACCGAUGGCGAAGGCAGCUCUCUGGUACGUGACUGACACUGAGACGCGAAAGCGUGGGGAGCGAACAGG
rnacentral:rRNA from 1 species